UUGUUGUCAUUCGAAAUUAAUUAGAGCUCAAAUGAGUCAUUCCUGAGGAAUGUUGUUUACAUAAAUGAUAUGAUGCAGUUGGACACGAAUCUUUCGAGCCAAGUUAUUUGCUUUAAUAUUUGCACUAUAAGAAAUUAAAGAUAAAAAAAAGCUUGUAAACUCUUUCUUGUCGCUCUGCAAUUCUUCCAAGAUUACUGAGAAAGCCGAUCAUUCGGUUGGGGAAGACACCAUCUUCACCAAAUCUAAACAGUCUGUGAAAAACGCCACAUCUUAAUUAUCAACAUUAAUCAUACAUUUUAUUGUCCAUAGGAGGGCUUCCACUUCUACAUAUAGAGAGAAUAGGUUUCGUCUGAGGUUUGCAACUUCCAAUAUUGGUGUCUCUCCAUUCAAGCAACUCACCACUAUGGUCAAAUUUGUAAAUUUGUGAUAACU
rnacentral:sRNA from 1 species